UAGGGAAUCUUCCACAAUGGGCGAAAGUCUGAUGGAGCAACGCCGCGUGAGUGAAGAAGGGUUUCGGCUCGUAAAGCUCUGUUGUUAAAGAAGAACGUGGGUAAGAGUAACUGUUUACCCAGUGACGGUAUUUAACCAGAAAGCCACGGCUAACUACGUGCCAG
rnacentral:rRNA from 1 species